UACGGAGGGUGCGAGCGUUGUCCGGAAUCACUGGGCGUAAAGGGCGCGUAGGCGGCUUGGCAAGCGGGCGGUGAAAGCCCGGGGCUCAACCCCGGGUCAGCCGAACGGACUGCUUAGCUGGACCACACUAGAGGCUCGUGGAAUUCCGGGUGUAGCGGUGGAAUGCGUAGAGAUCCGGAAGAACACCGGUGGCGAAGGCGGCGAGCUGGGGUGUGUGUGACGCUGAUGCGCGACAGCGUGGGGAGCAAACAGG
rnacentral:rRNA from 1 species